AAAGGAAUAGACGGGGACCCGCACAAGCGGUGGAGCAUGUGGUUUAAUUCGAAGCAACGCGAAGAACCUUACCAGGCCUUGACAUCCCGAGGACAGGCACGUAAUGGUGCCCUCACUUCGGUGCCUUGGAGACAGGUGGUGCAUGGUUGUCGUCAGCUCGUGUCGUGAGAUGUUGGGUCAAGUCCCGCAACGAGCGCAACCCCUGUCCAUAGUAGCCAGCAGUAAGAUGGGAACUCUAUGGAGACUGCCGGGGACAACCCGGAGGAAGGUGGGGAUGACGUCAAAUCAUCAUGCCCCUUACGGCCUGGGCUACACACGUGCUACAAUGGCGUAACAAAGGGAAGCGAGCCCGCGAGGGGGAGCGAACCCCAAAAAUAACGUCCCAGUUCGGACUGUAGUCUGCAACCCGACUACACGAAGCCGGAAUCGCUAGUAAUCGCGGAUCAGAAUGCCGCGGUGAAUACGUUCCCGGGUCUUGUACACACCGCCCGU
rnacentral:rRNA from 1 species